rnacentral:misc_RNA from 1 species
GAACGCACAUUGCGCCCCAUGGUAUUCCGUAGGGCACGUCUGUCUGAACGUCAUUAUAAACUCAAGCUAUGCUUGGUGAUGGGGUCGGCUUUGGCCGUCUCCCGCAAUCCGUCGGCGGAGGCCGCCGUGAGCCGAUAUGAUGAACAUCUUUGUCGAGCUUUGCGGUGAGCAACCUGCCAAAUGAACUCUACAGCUUGACUUCAGGUCAGACGAGGUUACCCGCUGAACUUAAG